ACAUUCAGGUAAUCGCUGCACGCUUGUCGUGUAGAGGAAAGUCCAUGCUCGCACGGGCUGCGAUGUCCGUAGUGUUCGUGCCUAGCCAAUUCAUAAGCUAGGGUAGUCUGGUUUUGACUGGACUAACGGCAAGGUAAGCACCUACGUCAUUUUUGAUAUGGUGUGAUGCCUUUGAAAGUGCCACAGUGACGUAGUCCAUUCGGAAACGAGUGGAGUGGAACGAGGUAAACCCCACGAGCGAGAAACCCAAAAUAUGGUAGGGGCAUCUUCUUAAACGGGAAUUGAACUGUUGAGAAGGACUGGGAGUAAAUCCUUUGUAGAUAGAUGAUUGCCACCGGAGUACGAGGUUCAUCACCGUUUGCAGUACAAAGGUACAGAACAUGGCUUAUCGAA
rnacentral:RNase_P_RNA from 2 species